rnacentral:lncRNA from 1 species
AGUUUGGGGUUUGGGGUUUCAGGUUUGGGGUUUGGGGUUUGGGGUUUGGGGUUUGGGGUUUGCGGUUUGGGGUUUAGAGGUUUCGGAUUUUAGGGAUUUAAACAUAAUACUCGUUAAUUCCACGUAAUCAGAAAUCGUCGUAAACACCACGUAAAAAAGAUUUAAACAAAACAGUCGUUAAUUCCACGUAAGCCCAAAUCAUCGUAAAUACCACGUAAGCAGAAAUCGUCGUAAAUACCUCGUAGUGUAAAAACUAGAAAAAAAGGAAAAGGAGAAUAAUACCAGAUUAAUAUGUGGCAAGACUUCCAGCAAUUAUAAUACGUAAGUCUCGCCCACAUGAAUUCUAAUAUCUUCUCCUUUUCCUAUUUUUUUUCAAAUAUUUAUAAUUUGAAUAGGAUUUUGCUGAGGAAUGUGAUUUGAGAUAGGGUGUGAUUUGGGAGUUUGUGUGUGGUUUGAGAAUGAGAGUUGUGGGUAUAUUUAUAGGAAAGCAAGACUCGUUAAUUCCACGUAAGCAAAAUCGUCGUUAAUACCUCGUAUAUAAAAACACGGGCCUUUGUGAUUCCUCGUAAUUUCCUCGUAUUGAAAAACACGGGCCUUUGUAACUGCUCGCUAUUUCGUCGUAACCUUACGACGAAUUUGCGACGAUAUAUAAUCUUAUAUAUACCCCCGAACGCUCACUCUUUCUUUCCUCUCUACUUCCUCUCCACUUCCUCUCCAUUUAGUAGCAAUGGUAAGCCUCUCUAAUUUGGUUAGUUUAGGGUAGAUUAGGUGGUUAGUAUAGGAAAUUUAGAUAGAUUUACGGAUUUUAUGUUAUUUAUUGUUCAUUAGGUGGAUAAUGUUGGGAAAUAUACUGUUGAUGUUAAUUUUAAAAUUUUAAUUUUUU